CAAGUCGAACGGCAGCACGGGAGCUUGCUCCUGGUGGCGAGUGGCGAACGGGUGAGUAAAGCAUCGGAACGUACCUUGUCGAGGGGGAUAACGCAGCGAAAGUUGUGCUAAUACCGCAUACGUCCUGAGGGAGAAAGCGGGGGACCGCAAGGCCUCGCGCGAUGAGAGCGGCCGAUGUCAGAUUAGCUAGUUGGUGAGGUAAAGGCUCACCAAGGCGACGAUCUGUAGCUGGUCUGAGAGGACGACCAGCCACACUGGAACUGAGACACGGUCCAGACUCCUACGGGAGGCAGCAGUGGGGAAUUUUGGACAAUGGGCGCAAGCCUGAUCCAGCAAUGCCGCGUGCAGGAUGAAGGCCUUCGGGUUGUAAACUGCUUUUGUACGGAACGAAAAGACUCCUUCUAAUAAAGGGGGUUCAUGACGGUACCGUAAGAAUAAGCACCGGCUAACUACGUGCCAGCAGCCGCGGUAAUA
rnacentral:rRNA from 1 species